rnacentral:tRNA from 1 species
GGGCAUAUAGCUCAGCUGGUAGAGCGCUUGAAUGGCAUUCAAGAGGUCAGGGGUUCGAGUCCCCUUAUGUCCAC